rnacentral:rRNA from 1 species
UAUCUCUGUAGAGUCUGCAUAUCAAUAAGCGGAGGAAAAGAAAACUAACAAGGAUUCCCUUAGUAACGGCGAGUGAAGCGGGAAGAGCUCAAAUUUGAAAUCUUCAAGGUUCUACCUUGACGAAUUGUAGUUUAAAGAAGUGUUUUCUGUUAGAUGAGUAGCAAAAGUUCCUUGGAAUGGGACAUCAUAGAGGGUGAGAAUCCCGUAUUUGGUUAUUCAUUCUAGCUUUGUGAUACACUUUCAAAGAGUCGGAUUGUUUGGGAAUGCAGUCCAAAAUGGGUGGUAAAUUUCAUCUAAAGCUAAAUAUUGGCGAGAGACCGAUAGCGAACAAGUACCGUGAGGGAAAGAUGAAAAGAACUUUGAAAAGAGAGUUAAACAGUACGUGAAAUUGUCAAAAGGGAAGCGUUUGACACCAGUGUUGUUUUUCCGAAAAUCAAUUACGAAUGGCUUGAUUUUGUGUUGUAUUGACCUUAUCAGCUUUCUUCACUUUUUUCGAGUCUUUCUUAAUGCACUUUUCGGUUAACAAGUCAACAUCAAUUUCUUUUGUUGUAAAAGAGUAUUCGGAAGGUGGCUUUCUUUUCGGAGAAAGUGUUUAUAGCCCUAUACUUCUACAAUCGGAGAGAUUGAGGUCUGCAGCGUAGAUCCUUCGGGGUUAGAUACACUUGUGCUAAGUUGUAGCUUUUCAUAGACAACUUGUUGACUAUGUUUAGUCAUGCGGCUUACUCGCUUGUGCUAUUUUACCUACGCUUAGGAUGUUGACUGAUAUGUAGUCGUA